AAAGACCAAGAAAUCCAACCUCAUUGGUUUCUUUUGGCUACACAGGAUUUACAACCAGAAAAACAGAUGUCCUAAAAGAUCUUGCUUCUUGUUAUAAGGAGUAAGGUGCAAGCAAGUGCUAUAAAGCUAAAUACUUCACACAGAAACUGUAGAAAGUAUUACCAUAGCCUUGGAUAAAGUAUGCACAGGUGGUCACUCUCAAGAACUCUUCAAUCUCAGUACUUAAUGGAGCCCCUCCUGAGAUUAAUAAGCGAAGACGACCUCCAAGCCUUGCCUUGACCUAAUCAAGCAAAUGACAAGGAAGUACCCAGUAUAGAAAUUGUUCUCUAAAAGAUGUCAGAUGAAGUUCAACUAGGCACAACAUUACUUCAAGCCUAAUGCUGGACAUGCUUAUUGAAUUGUUGAUGCCAUGCUAUGUUUAUGCAGAAAGAGUAAACAGAGAAAAGGAUGGAGCACAAAAGAUCCUUACAGUACAGAGAACACUUCAAGUUUUAGGCUUUUAGUGCAGAAAUUUGCUUUGGUGGCUACAAAAAGAAACAUCUCGUACUACUCAAAGUCAUAUAUGUGCUGAUACGAAAAACUAUAAUCAUAUUUUCUGAACGGCAGUAGACAACCAAGCAUGUGUGGAACAUAAAGAUGGAUGGCAUAUACUGGAAGAGUUGGAAGUAUUCUGUUUAAAUUAUUGCUUACUACUGCCUUUGCCUUUGUCAUUGAUAAAAAGGCUCAAGCUGUGGGAAUCCAUCCUUGGCCAGUAUGCUCCGGAACACUGGCCCUGCCGCUGGGUGACCGUCUUUGCCGGGCUUCCCAUCUUCCACUUUAAUCGUGAAGAUGUUCUUCGGAUUCGCCUCCAUCUCUUAGGAUGGCGUCAAAGCCUCUAACAUCCAGAACUCAAGUGUAGGAGAAGAUAGAGAUGCAGCUAGCGAGCGGUCCGCACUCCGUCUGGAGAUAUGAUGGCUGUGGUACUGGUGACUGGCGACCUCUCAGCAUCGACGUCCGUCCCUUUGUGGUUGGAAGUAAGGGAAAGUCCCGCUGCCUGCGAUCGAGGGUGCCGAGUGGCUGGACAAGCGAGCACGAGACCAUGUCUAACCUUCGCUGGGAGGAGCCUGCAAGUCCGAAGUUCUGGAGAAGCCUAUGGGCAGCACAUGGCGCGCCAACGACGGACUUCUUGAUGGUGUCGGCUGACCAGCACGGGCGACCUUCGAACCCGGGCGAAGGCGAAGGUCACUGAUGAUUGUAGGUUGGGAGCAAGCUUCAGGAUUACGCAAACAACGGGACUGACUUAGAGUAGUUGAUUUGUACACUACAAACUAGCAAAAGGCCCUUUGGACUGGAAUCUCAUAAGGAUAUUCUGGGCAGGUAGGGGUAUUUCGGAUAUCAUGUAAUGGAGACAAGAGGGUAUAAAUACCCCCAAUUUUCACUGUACAAGGGAUGAUUUUAAGAUGUCAUAAGUACA